rnacentral:misc_RNA from 1 species
AACAAGGCGUACCUGCGGACCUGCGGAGGGAUCAUUACACAAUACAAUAUGAAGGCUGUCCGCAGCUGGAGUAUUUUAUUACCCUUGUCUUUUGCGCACUUGUUGUUUCCUGGGCGGGUUCGCUCGCCACCAGGACCACCAAAUAAACCUUUUUUAUGCAGUUGCAAUCAGCGUCAGUACAAGCAAUGUAAAUCAUUUACAACUUUCAACAACGGAUCU